UACGUAGGGGGCAAGCGUUGUUCGGAAUUACUGGGCGUAAAGGGUUUGUAGGUGGCCAACUAAGUCAGACGUGAAAUCCCUCAGCUUAACUGGGGAACUGCGUCUGAGACUGGAUGGCUUGAGUGCAGGAGAGGAACGCGGAAUUCCAGGUGUAGCGGUGAAAUGCGUAGAUAUCUGGAGGAACACCGGUGGCGAAGGCGGCGUUCUGGACUGCAACUGACACUGAAAAACGAAAGCCAGGGGAGCAAACGGG
rnacentral:rRNA from 1 species